CCUACGGGAGGCAGCAGUGGGGAAUCUUGCACAAUGGGGGAAAGCCUGAUGCAGCGACGCCGCGUGAGUGAAGAAGUAUUUCGGUAUGUAAAGCUCUAUUAGCAGGGAAGAAAAUGACGGUAACUGAUUAAGAAGCCCCGGCUAACUACGUGCCAGCAGCCGCGGUAAUACGUAGGGGGAAAGCGUUAGCCGGAUUUAAUGGGUGUAAAGGGAGCGUAGAUGGUUGUACAAGUCUGGAGUGAAAGGCCGGGGCUUAACCCCGGAGCUGCUUUGGAAACUGGGCAGCUAGAGUGCAGGAGAGGUAAGUGGAAUUCCUAGUGUAGCGGUGAAAUGCGGAGAUAUUAGGAGGAACACCAGUGGCGAAGGCGGCUUACUGGACUGCAACUGACGUUGAGGCGCGAAAGCGUGGGGAGCAAACAGGAUUAGAUACCCGUGUAGUC
rnacentral:rRNA from 1 species